UAAACUGUACUUUAAAGGAUCAUUCCUAUAGUAUCUGACUAGAGAAAUAUACUUGAUAAUUAUCAGAUGAAGAACUGCUUCAGU
ensembl:snoRNA U3 Small nucleolar RNA U3